rnacentral:misc_RNA from 1 species
AAGUCGUAACAAGGUUUCCGUAGGUGAACCUGCGGAAGGAUCAUUAACACUAAUGAAAUCCAAAACCUUUUGGAUCAACCCAACCUUAGCGAACCGUUCGUAUUUUUUCCCUUGCCCAAUUUUACCAAACGCAAAAAACUCUGAUGUAAAGUGUCUGAUUAUUAUUCUCGUUUCGGUUGUAACGACCAGCGGGAAUCAAAAUCUAACGCAAUACAACUCUUAACAACGGAUAUCUUGGCUCUC